AACAUCCCCCCCCUUCAUAUCCAUUCCCUAGGUUUACUCAUUCUAUUUUAUUUAAAAAAUUAAUAUAUUCUCUUUGAGCUCCUAUGACAAUUAUGCUAUAUCUUUUAUUUAUCUAAAAAAUAUCAAGAUUCAUAGUUAAGAUCAAUCAACUCUAAAUCUAACAUUAACGUAUCAUUCUCACUUGACAAUAGAUCCUUAUUUAAUCUAUUUGUUCAGCAAUUCUUUGCUCCAAAAGACUCAUUUAUUGACUCCAAAUCUUUCCCUGAUUAGGUUUCAAGCAAUCCAACACACACACACACACACACACACACACUCUCUCUCUCUCUUAAAUUUAUGAAAUAUAUGUAUUUUGUUUUUGCUAAGAAUGUAGUAUAUGAAAACUUCAACCUUGUCCUCUCUAAUUGUAGAGCUCUAUCUAUGUAGGAAGAGAGAGAAAAAUAGAAAGAAGAGAGAGAAAAAGAAGAAGAAAAUGAUGAUCAUGAAGAUGAAGAAAAGGAAGAAGAAGAAGAAGAAGAAGUAUUUUAAUCAUCUUUAGUGCUAAGACUUGGGUAAAGAUAAGAGGGAGGAGUCAUUCUAUAGGAUUGUGGUGAUGAGAAAGAUGAACAUUGAUCGGUCCUGUUGUGAACUUUGAUUUCCUAAUAUGGGGGGAAAAAUUAUCAAAGAAGGAAGAGGUUGCUAUGAUUGUUGUGGGUUCUGUAGCUUCCAGAGGAUUAAAAUGUAUAUGAUAAGAAUUUAAUGCAACUGCUAUUGAUCUUUACUUAAUUCUAUGAACAUUCAAUUAGCUUUUGCGGUUUCUUAUUUUUAUUUGGUCAAUAGGAUGAUACGAGAAGUGCAUUUAACUGUGUCA